GGACCCGCACAAGUAGUGGAGCAUGUGGUUUAAUUCGAUGAUACGCGAGGAACCUUACCAGGACUUAAAUGUAAGUUGCAUGAUUCAGAAAUGAAUCUUUCUUCGGACUACUUACAAGGUGCUGCAUGGUUGUCGUCAGCUCGUGCCGUGAGGUGUCAGGUUAAGUCCUAUAACGAGCGCAACCCCUAUCGUUAGUUGCCAUCAAGUAAAGUUGGGAACUCUAGCGAAACUGCCGGUGCAAACCGAGAGGAAGGUGGGGAUGACGUCAAAUCAUCACGGCCCUUACGUCCUGGGCUACACACGUGCUACAAUGGCCGGUACAGAGAGCAGCCACUACGCGAGUAGGAGCG
rnacentral:rRNA from 1 species